rnacentral:lncRNA from 1 species
GAAUUAUUAAACCUACUUAGUCAGGGGCAGUUUCAGAGACCAAUGUUUGAGCUGAAAACUAGAAUUACUGAUCUCAUUGGCCGUUUUCUUUCAUUGAGUUAGUUGCUACGCUUUGGUUUGUUUAUUAGUUUCAUUUUGUUUGUUUAUUAGUUUCAGAUAUAGCUAAAACAGAGUGGAAAGGUGGGUAUUAAUUUUGACCAAUCAAAAUUACCUCAUUGUUUUAUGUGUUUGAGGAACUAAUUCUCCUAGAUCUCAGUUACUGAUUCUUUCUGUCUUGACAGAAAUAUGUACCUUUGAUGCCUAUGAAAGCACAUACAAGAGUUUGAGAAGUACUACUGUGAUUUCUGUGUUGCUGAUGAGAAGCCAUGCUGCUAAAUAGCUUUGAGAGGCUGUAAAGAAACUUGAAAAAGCAAGUUCACUUCUACAGCUCCAUGAUGCUCUCAGAUAAGCACAGAGGUUUGAGUUUCUUUCUUCUAAGUCAUUUUCAUCAUCAUCAAAGAAGUUUUCUUUUUCAUAUAAAUUUACUCAUCUAACUGCCAUCUGAAACUGAAGAGAAG